CAGGGUUAUGUUCCUCUAGUCAUCACCUCAGGGUUAUGUUCCUCUAGUCAUCACCUCAGGGUUAUGUUCCUCUAGUCAUCACCUCAGGGUUAUGUUCCUCUAGUCAUCACCUCAGGGUCAUGUUCCUCUAGUCAUCUCACCUCAGGGUUAUGUUCCUCUAGUCAUCACCUCAGGGUUAUGUUCCUCUAGUCAUCACCUCAGGGUCAUGUUCCUCUAGUCAUCACCUCAGGGUCAGGGCUCUGGGGUUCUGUGUUAAUAUUUGUUUCUUCCAGAAGGAGCAGCAGAAGACCAAGAAAAAGCAGAAGAGCACAAAAAAGAAGCCCCCUGCUGCUUUGAGGGAGGAGGAGGAAGAGGAGGAGCCAGUGAGGAAGCUGAGUAUGGACAGCAGUUCUCCAGAACCAGACGCGGGCCGGGACUCCGAGCCUGGUCAGACCGACCAUGAAUACUCCUCUGGGGCAGGAGGGAAGCAGGCUGGGGGGCCCCAACCCAUGGCCCCUGGAGUCUUCCUUACACAGAGACGACCCUCCACAUUUUCAUCAUCUCACAACAAUAACAACAACACAGCCAAGGGGGAGCGAGGAGCCGCAGCAGGAGCAGGUGGAGCAGGAAAGGGUGACGCAAAGGGCGAAGGUAAGUGAUUUCAUCCACAGGAAAUACCACACAUUCCAUACUGUUGGUUGGUGUGGUGUAACCUUCAGUAAAAAGCCUUUCAAGUAAUUUACGCCUCACCGCUAACAAGAUUAACUGUUGCUUUUCAUUGAUACUAAAUGGUCUGUCUAGCCGGAUGGACCGGGGACAAAUCACAUAAAUACACUGGUACCCCUAUUAUAUACACUGGUGCCCCUGUUAUUUAUACUGGUGCCCCUAUUAUAUACACUGGUGCCCCUAUUAUAUAUCCUGGUGCCCCUAUUAUAUAUCCUGGUGCCCCUAUUAUAUACACCGGUGCCCCUAUUAUAUAUCCUGGUACCCCUGUUAUAUAUCCUGGUGCCGCUAUUAUAUAUCCUGGUGCCCCUAUUAUAUAUUCUGGUACCCCUAUUAUAUAUCCUGGUGCCCCUAUUAUAUAUCCUGGUGCCCCUAUUAUAUAUCCUGGUGCCCCUAUUAUAUAUUCUGGUACCCCUAUUAUAUAUCCUGCUGCCUCUAUUAUAUAUCCUGGUGCCCCUAUUAUAUAUCCUGCUGCCUCUAUUAUAUAUGCUGCUAAUCAUAUUAUAUACACUGGUUUCCCUUACUAUAUUUAUAUUUGUGCCCUCAUUUUUCACAUCCACAUUGUACUAAAUAAUCUUAGAGAUAGUCACUAUUGAAUUCCUGAUUUAUUUUUCUAAUAUUUGUGUACCUCUUUCUGCCUCCAUGUGCCCCUCAGCGAAGCGGCUAAAGAAAGGCAUGGCGACGGCCAAACAGAGACUAGGAAAGAUCCUCAAGAUCCACCGCAACGGGAAGCUCCUCCUGUAACAGGAAGUGACUCGCUACGGAGCAUUGCCAUUGGCUCCUGCAGUACUCUUAGCAUAUGAACUGGCUCCAUCUCCUUUCCUUUGAUUGGUGCUGGGCUAACAGACAGACUGAAACAGUCAACAUUGGUUUUGCCUAUACUUAAAAGUGUACAGAAUAAUUGCUAGAAAUAUUUUUUAAGAAAAAAUGUGUCAUUUUACUACAGUCAGUUUAUCAGGGGGUAUGCUAUGCUAUGCGUUAAACUAGGUGUUGCGGCCCAAACGGCAGCCUAUACCCUUUAUAGUGCCCUGGUCAAAAGUAGUGCGCUACAAAGGGAAUAGGCUGCCGUUUGGGACGCGACCAAGAAGUACAUCCAGGACCCUGAAAGUAUCCCUUCCAUGUAUUCAGUUGGAUGGGUUAAAGAUAGUUCAUAGAGAAUUCAUUCCUACUCUUUCAAUGGGGGUUAUCAUUAACCUUGAAAUAAUUGUUGCUUUCUGUCCUCCCCAGACCAGACUUAGCCUGAAAUACAGUCUGUUUGUGCUAACAUUCCACCCCCAGACAUAUUAGGCGACGAGGAGUGGAAUGUUAGCACAGACUGUAUUUCUCCACGCUAAACCCAGACCUUCACUAGAUACACUCACCUCCGCGCUAUUCCUUUGUUUGCUAAGCACUAUCAGUUACGAUAUAUUUAUUGUCCUAAUAUACUGUUUCGUGUCAUAGACGUGGAAAGGAAAGCCAACAAGGCACUUAAUAAAAUAACUUGCGAUGGGAAUUUCAGAUGUCAGAUAUGUCAAUAUGAUGAUGGUUCCAGUGUUCAACUGGAUUUCUCUGGUCGUUCUCUGAACGGUUUGUAAAAGAAACACAUUAAGGAAUGGUGUCUUUCUUUGAGCUAAUGUUUUCACACCCAAACAAACAUAUCAACAUUAUUUCACAAUGUGCCAUCACUUCCGUUUUAAGACUUUCUUAAGAUAGAUAUUGUGAUUAUAGACCGUAUGAAUUAGCUACUUUAAAGACUGUAAAACAAGUAACCAAAUGUGUAAUAUAUUGUUCUAAAUUUGUACAAACAGUAUAUUACCACAGCUGACAGUCACAUGAAAUUAUCCUUAAAGGGAUAUAAUGUGGUAUUAUUGUCAUGCAUUAUUUAAUAAGGAUUUAUUUGGUAUUUCGAUAUCAAUAUUCCAUAAUCUAACAUUGACUGUAUUGCCAGUCAAUUGAAACUCUCUAUCCCAAAUGGCACCCUAUUUCCUAUAUAGUGCACUACUUUAGACCAGGGUCCUAUUCCCUAUGUAGUGGCCAACUUUAGACCAGGGCCCAUAUCUAACUCUCUAAAGGAGGAUCGUUAUUGAAACACUAAUCAUGGGCUCCUGGAGAUGCUGUAAAUCCCAUGAUGAUCGGCCUCAUCCAGCUCUCUCACUGUGGCUACAUGGGGAUACUUUCACUCCUCUGUUGGCUUUAAGGCAGCAACAUAGCCUUCAUCACUGAAAUAUGCAUCAUUUCUAUGGCUUGUUAUUCACAGUACAGUAUGUAGAAUGUAGCUUGUACAUAGCCUUUUACAGGAAUACUUUUUGUAUCCUUUUUUUCCUCCCUUAAUACUUCAUUAUUAUACAUUUCUACUAGUUUUUUAUUAUAAACAAAAUAUAUGUGAAUAUAUAGACAUUAGUCUUUUUGAUUUGAUUAGACCAAUGUUUGUUUUAUGUUUGUUUUUAACAUUGUUUAUUUGUUAUUAGACUAAGGUGUUGCCUGGAAAAACAACUGAAGAACAAAAUAACAUGAAUUGUUGUAUGGCCUUACACUACUACAUACACACAGCUACAUUACAUUACUACAUACACAC
rnacentral:lncRNA from 13 species